UCCCAGGUGGUCCAGUGGGUAGGACUCAGUGCUCUCACUGUCGUGGCCCAGGUUCAAUUCCUGGUCAGGGAA
rnacentral:tRNA from 1 species